rnacentral:lncRNA from 1 species
AAGACCCAUUUGUCUAUCUGUCUGUCUGCCUGUCUGUCUGUCUAGAAGGAUGGAUAAAUGAAUCAAGCAAACUCCAUUGCAAACAAAAUUUGACAACUAGGCCAUUUGAAAGCCUUAUUUCCUGCACUUAACUAUGGGCUCCCCACUCAACUGUUUAUCUGUUAGAACUUACUGUCACCAUCAAGACCUGGACCUCUCAACUUCAACUGAUCAUCUUCAAAUGUUGCAAGAUGCCCAGUAAACCUCUACCCUGGUACCAACAAGCAAAACAGAGAAUGAAAACACCCACUUUCCAGAAGCAAACAGAAUGUAAAAUAUCUCCAUUCCUAAAAAUGUAAAAGCUCCAGAAAUGAGUUUCUAUUCUCCUUAGAUACCUAGGUGCCUGCCCAGGUGUAGCUCUUUCUUCAAUAUGCCUGGUCCCCGGGCAACACAAAAAUCUGCCAGUUUUUCACAGAAACCUUCCAUGGUUGUUCUGUAACCUCAACUACUCUAGAUCCAUUGAUUCUAAUAAGUCUCCUUUUUCCAUAAUAUCUGUGAAUCGAGCCUCAGCUGGACAUGUUAACUCAAUGGGCUUGGCAUUCCUAGCUGUGUUGAAUGAAAUCAGAAGUGUAGCGUUUUGGUGACUUAAGAUGACAAACAUUCCAUGCCUGUCAAACCAGGAGACCCAGGAGCU